GAUGGCAAGAUGCUGUUGUUGAAAACACUGAACGCUCUGAUAACUGGGCAUGGAGAAAACAAGCUCAUAUAUUUUCCUGGAAGCUUCUACCUUCUGGCUAGCUUUCACAGUGCUGGGAGGUACUGUGUAGGCUGAUGGUGGAGGACAGUCCUCAGCAGUCCUACCCAGAUGUGGACCUGAAAACCACAAUGCUGACUUGCCUGUCAAGAUUGAAAAAGCAGAAAAAGAAGAUUUGUUUAAUGUGGCCUCAUUGGGAAAAGAAACAAAAAGAUCCAGAGCCCCCCCUCCCAAGUCUGUGUUUGGGGUCCCGUCAUAAUGCUGACGUAAUCUUGUUUGGAAGAUCACUUUCUAUGAAAGUCAAAUAGAUACAAUUCUUACAGAAAAAUUUCAAGGUGGGUUAUGUUUUCAUCAUUUUAAGUAAAUGGACACAGG